GGGCCUGUAGCGUAAUCCGGUAACGUGCUCCCUUGGCUUGGGAGAGAUUUCGAGUUCAAAUCUCGACAGGUCCA
rnacentral:tRNA from 1 species